rnacentral:rRNA from 1 species
UGGGGAAUAUUGCACAAUGGGCGCAAGCCUGAUGCAGCCAUGCCGCGUGUAUGAAGAAGGCUUUCGGGUUGUAAAGUACUUUCAGCGGGGAGGAAGGGAGUAAAGUUAAUACCUUUGCCCAUUGACGUUACCCGCAGAAGAAGCACCGGCUAACUCCGUGCCAGCAGCCGCGGUAAUACGGGGGGUGCAAGCGUUAAUCGGAUUUACUGGGCGUAAAGCGCACGCAGGCGGUUUGUUAAGUCAGAUGUGAAAUCCCGGGGCUCAACCUGGGAACUGCAUCUGAUACUGGGUAACUUGAGUCUGGUAGAGGGGGGUAGAAUUCCAGGUGUAGCGGUGAAAUGCGUAGAGAUCUGGAGGAAUACCGGUGGCGAAGGCGGCCCCCUGGACGAAGACUGACGCUCAGGUGCGAAAGCGUGGGGAGCAAACAGG